UCCUCCCUUCCCCCGCGUACCCGAGUUCUUUCCCCGACGGCGAUUUCCUUUGCUCAUCUUCUUCGUGCCCUAACCUCCUCGCGCCGACGCCCUUCCUUCUUCUCCUCUCACGCGGCGAUUGCUGCCUCCUUGCGAUUUUAAGCCGUCGACUGAGAGAAAGCCCGAGCCUAUUUCUUAUGCCCUAACCGUCUUCUUUUCUCCUCUUGUGUGCCGACGCCGCCUCCCUUCUUCUUCCCUGCCCAAGCACUGGUGACGCGCGAGCACCGCCGGCUGAGCCCCUUCCUUCGAUCGCCGAGCAGAGCCCUUCUCUCUGCUCUAGUGUCGUCCUCCUUCCUUUCGUCUCUGCCCGACGACGCCACACAAGCCCUCACGGUGAAUUUGCCCUAGUCGACGCCACUGGAUCGAUCCAAGGUCCAUCGAUCGUCGACGUGAAGGUGCCUUAGGGCUUUGAGGGUUAUAGAUUUGGAGAGGUUGGGAUCAUUGAGAUGUGCUUGGGCUGGCGGGCAGAAACUAGAGGAGUUGUGCUUGAUCAGUGGACCUCCUCUUCCUUGCUGCUGACUGAGGUCUCGGUUGGAGCUCCUUGAUUAGGGCAGUGCGGUGAAGAGAGGUUCUAUUCUGUACUGUGGGGUAAUCUUGUUCUAGUAGCAACCCUUCCAAUAGCAACAUCCACUUAGUUCCAGCAUCUCGUUCGGCUGUGAAUUGAGGUACCAGGUUGUUUACGGAGUCGCUUGGAGCAUCCUGUCUGCCGGUUCCCACGUCACAUCUGAAGACUUACUGGUUUCAUUUAUGUUUUUAUUUAUUUUGUGUAUUAAGUGUACUUAGCAUUGUAUAUUCUGGUUUUGGCGCUGGAGUGUUGUUAUGGAGUGUUUUGUGUUGCUUGAUGGUUGUGUAAGCCUAACCGGCUAGCAGUCUUGUAUUUUUUGUUUGUAUUUGGUUUUCUAUCAUUUUCCAUUGUGUUUUGGUUUUAGUACAGUCGA